UACGGAAGGGGGCUAGCGUUGCUCGGAAUCACUGGGCGUAAAGCGCACGUAGGCGGCUUCUUAAGUCAGGGGUGAAAUCCUGGAGCUCAACUCCAGAACUGCCUUUGAUACUGAGGAGCUUGAGUCCGGGAGAGGUGAGUGGAACUGCGAGUGUAGAGGUGAAAUUCGUAGAUAUUCGCAAGAACACCAGUGGCGAAGGCGGCUCACUGGCCCGGUACUGACGCUGAGGUGCGAAAGCGUGGGGAGCAAACAGG
rnacentral:rRNA from 1 species